rnacentral:rRNA from 1 species
CCAGACUCCUACGGGAGGCAGCAGUGGGGAAUAUUGGGCAAUGGGCGAGAGCCUGACCCAGCAAUGCCGCGUGAAUGAAGAAGGUCUUAGGAUUGUAAAAUUCUAUCCUAUGGGAAGAAACAAAUGACGGUACCAUAGGAGGAAGCCCCGGCUAACUACGGGCCAGCAGCCGCGGUAAUACGGAGGGUGCGAGCGUUAAUCGGAAUUACUGGGCGUAAAGCGCUCGUAGGCGGUAUGUCAAGUCAAGGGUGAAAUCCCCGCGCUCAACGUGGGAACUGCCUUUGAAACUGGCAAACUGGAGUGUGUGAGAGGAUAGUGGAAUUCCAGGUGUAGGAGUGAAAUCCGUAGAUAUCUGGAGGAACAUCAGUGGCGAAGGCGACUAUCUGGCACAUAACUGACGCUGAGGAGCGAAAGCGUGGGUAGCAAACAGGAUUAGAUACCCGCGUACA